rnacentral:rRNA from 1 species
AUUGAACGCUGGCGGCAUGCUUUACACAUGCAAGUCGAACGGUAACAGGCCGCAAGGUGCUGACGAGUGGCGCACGGGUGAGUAAUGCAUCGGAACGUGCCCAGUCGUGGGGGAUAACUACUCGAAAGAGUAGCUAAUACCGCAUACGAUCUAUGGAUGAAAGCGGGGGACCGUAAGGCCUCGCGCGAUUGGAGCGGCCGAUGUCAGAUUAGGUAGUUGGUGGGGUAAAGGCUCUCCAAGCCAACGAUCUGUAGCUGGUCUGAGAGGACAACCAGCCACACUGGGACUGAGACACGGCCCAGACUCCUACGGGAGGCAGCAGUGGGGAAUUUUGGACAAAGGGCGCAAGCCUGAUCCAGCAAUGCCGCGUGCAGGAAGAAGGCCUUCGGGUUGUAAACUGCUUUUGUACGGAACGAAACGGCUCUGGCUAAUACCCGGGGCUAAUGACGGUACCGUAAGAAUAAGCACCGGCUAACUACGUG